rnacentral:misc_RNA from 1 species
ACCCACCACCACUAGUUAAAGAUGUAACAGAAACAAAGCAUAGCUUGUCAAGCAAAUUCCACCUCCAGUUUGAAACUACCUAACGGUAACAAUGUCAUCAAUCUUCAAAAUCAUCCGUACACACUCUGUUGCCAGUGUGAUUGCACUUGUGCUCACAAGCAGUGGCUGCACCACAUUCUCCUCCAAGAUAUUUGUAAUCUGGCCCUUCCUGACGUUGAUGCCAGCAUUGAUCUCCCCCUGAGCAUGCCUAUUUCUCAGCUCAGUCACAAUUGCAAUGGGAUUCAACCCAGCAUUCUCUGCCAAGGUAUAUGGUAUGACCUCCAGCGCUUCUGCAAAAGAUUUCACACAAUAACCUUCCAUCCCAUGCAGCACCUUUGCCCAAGCCCCAAGCUGCCUGGAUAACUCAAUCUCUGGAGCCCCACCGCCUGCAAUCAAAAACCGCUUAUUUACCAAACAUCUAACCACACACAAUGCAUCAUGCAAGCUCCUCUCUGCCUCGUCAAUAACUAAUUGAUUAGAGCCCCGAACAAGCACCGUACUAGUCCUUCCCAUAUUUUUAAUCCCAGUGAUCUUUACAAUCUUGCCAUCUCCAAGAGGAACCUCCUCAACAAGGUUUGCAUACCCCAACUUCUCGUCUCUGAAAUGUUCAAUAUUUGCAAUAGGCAA